UACAGAGGUCUCAAGCGUUGUUCGGAUUCAUUGGGCGUAAAGCGCGUGUAGGCGGUCCGGUAAGUCCGCUGUGAAAGUCGGGGGCUCAACCCUCGGAUGCCGGUGGAUACUGUCGGGCUUGAGUACGGAAGAGGCGAGUGGAAUUCCCGGUGUAGUGGUGAAAUGCGUAGAUAUCGGGAGGAACACCAGUGGCGAAGGCGACUACCUGGCCUGUUUCUUGACGCUGAGGCGCGAAAGCUAGGGGAGCAAACGGG
rnacentral:rRNA from 1 species